rnacentral:rRNA from 1 species
GGGAUCACCUGACGAGUAGUCAUACUACAUGCUCGUGAGGUGAGUUCACAUCGUAGGCUGCUACUCGCCUACGUGAAGGAGGAAUCGCUAGUAAUCGCAGGUCAGCAUACUGCGGUGAAUACGUUCCCGGGCCUUGUACACACCGCCCGUCACACCAUGGAAGUUGGCCAUGCCCGAAGCCGUUACUCCAACCCUUGUGGAGGAGGACGUCGAAGGUGGGGCUGAUGACUGGGGUGAAGUCGUAACAAGGUAGCCGUACCGGAAGGUGCGGCUGGAUCACCUCCUAA